CACAUGAUCGUAAAGGCUUUGCUUGGUAUAAACACUAAAUAAAACAAAGUUAUAAUAGUAGCAUAAUUGUGACAACACUCAAGAACAGAAAACAAAAAUAAAAAUAAAUUUUAUCCAUUGGGUUGCCUCCCAACAAGCGCUAUCGUUUUACGCCCCUAGCUAGGCAUAUAGGAUAAAUUUUGAGUGAUGUCCUCCUUAGUGAUUGAUCCAUAGGUUGACCUCAUGAUUGAUGCAUAUAGUAAUUUAAUUUUAGUUCUAGGGAAGUGUUACAUGCCCUUUCUUAGUGGAAACUGAAAUUUAAUAUACCCUUCUUUCAUAUCAAUCACAGCUCGUAUAGUACGCAAGAACGGUAUGCAAAAUUAUUGGACAAGACGGAUUGCACUCAAUAUCAAGAACAAUAAAAUCUAUGGGAGCAUAAUUCCUAUUUUCAAGAAUAAGAACAUCAUUAAUUCUUCCCGCAUGUUUUUCAAUAGUAGAAUCCGCCAAGUGCAAAUUGAGAGAACACUCUUCAAUAUCGGUAAGACCAACAUCACAAAGAGAUUUCGGAAUUGUGGAAACACUAGCACCCAAAUCACAUAAAGCAUAGAACACAAUUUUUUAAUUUUUAUCUUAAUGGUGGGUUCCCAUUCAUCAUGUAAUUUCCUAGGAAUUGAAAUCUCUUGUUCUAACUUUUCUUCCAAAGUUUUAAUCACUGCUUCCGAACUAUAUUUAGUAAAAGCUUUAUUUUGUUCAUAGGCAUUGGGUGAAUUUAUC
rnacentral:lncRNA from 1 species